rnacentral:rRNA from 1 species
GUGCCAGCAGCCGCGGUAAUACGUAGGGUCCGAGCGUUGUCCGGAAUUAUUGGGCGUAAAGAGCUCGUAGGCGGUUUGUCGCGUCUGCUGUGAAAACUAGAGGCUCAACCUCUAGCCUGCAGUGGGUACGGGCAGACUUGAGUGGUGUAGGGGAGACUGGAAUUCCUGGUGUAGCGGUGGAAUGCGCAGAUAUCAGGAGGAACACCGAUGGCGAAGGCAGGUCUCUGGGCACUUACUGACGCUGAGGAGCGAAAGCGUGGGGAGCGAACAGGAUUAGAUACCCUGGUAGUCC